GGGCAGGAAGCAAAACAGGGUAGGCUGAAGAGACAAAGACGGGAGAAGACACAAGCACAGGAGGGGAGACAGAGAGAGUCAAGGGAAAGAAAUUCAACGAGGCAACAUGGUGGUAACAGGAAGCAAGGACGAGGUGGCGGAAAUGAGCUUGAAGAGGAGAUGGCCAA